rnacentral:sRNA from 1 species
GAAUAUGCGUGAGGGAUAGAGGCGGCAUCCUUUUCUGGACUUUUUAGGACAGAAAAGAUAAAGCCGAAAGCCCGGUCGCUU